CAACCAGGAUGUUGGCUUAGAAGCAGCCACUCAUUCAAAGAGUGCGUAAUAGCGCACUGGUCGAGUGAUCCUGCGCCGAAGAUUUCCGGGGCUAAAACUUACUACCGAAGCGACGGCAUCAGUAAUGAUGGGUAGGGGAGCUUCCCAUACGGGUGGAAGCAUGACCGUAAGGACAUGUGGACAUUAUGGGAUUGAGAAUGAUGGCAUGAGUAGCGAGAUGUGGGUGAGAAUCACACAGGCCGUAAACCCAAGGUGUCCAGGGGAAGGAUCGUCCGCCCCGGGAUAGUCGGGACCUAAGCUGAGGCCGAAUGGCGGAGGGGAUGGACAUCAGGUUGCGAUUCCGGUACUACCGCUGUCUUAUAUUA
rnacentral:rRNA from 1 species